rnacentral:pre_miRNA from 1 species
UCGAAUUCUUGACUAUUUGUCUUAUUUGAAAAUUUUUAUGAUUAAUAUUUUUAUUGUUACUACGUGAUAAAACAUAAAUAGUACUUUACGUAUGACUAAUUUUUUUUAACUUUUUAAUAAAUUUUUCAAAUAAAACAGAUGGUUAAACGCUCAACCUAAAAAAC